GGUCAGGACCUCGGCAGCGAGCGGCCCCUCACGGAGCGGUGGCGGCAGCUUGGGGCGGCCUCUAGGCCGGGCGCUGCCCCAGGACCCCGCGCUCCUGCAGUGGUGGGAGGAGAUCGCGGACGGGCGGCCCUGCCUGCGGCACCGUUUUUAGCCCCCACCUCCAGGACCUCCAGGCCCGGGCGCCCUCAGGGCCGGCACGCGUUAACCCAAGAAUCUCAAGCACACACAGGAAACUAGAAAAAAAUUCUGAGGCUUGAACAGAUCGAGAGAACAAGGGCGUCACUGGCAGAAAAGCGGAGGCGAGUCCGAGCCUCAGGAUGCGGCCGCUCCUUACACGGAUCCACGGCCGGAGAGCCGCCCGCCCCGAGACGUGGCUUCCUAGGAGCAGUUCACACGCAGCUCUGCGGCAGCGACCAGCGGAGCCGGGGGGCUGUCUUCAUAGUUCACCGUCUACAGGGAUCUUAGCAAAAACACACCCAUGGUAAGGGUGCCUACACCAGGCUUUUGUCACAACUCAGUGACUAGGAAGACUAGGUAGGCUGAUCAAAAGCUCUGACGAUGUGUGUGAUUAAAAGUAGGAAAAUGUGGUCGCCAGAUAAAAUGUUUUAACAUACAGUGGGGCGGGAGGGGGGGAAGAUGGGGAUAAAAAAUGUGGAAACCAUUUAUUUUAAAAUUUUGACUGUUCCUGCAGUCUAAAUAUAUUCUGAUUAUCUUUAGAAACUGCUCUCAAUCUAUUUGUAUGUCUUCCCUCUAGUUUUAAAAUAUUAAACCAUCAUCUAACUCACUAUUUUACCUCUAGUCAUGUUACCAGGUUGGGAUAAUAAAAAGGACAGUGAACUU